GACGAACGCUGGCGGCGUGCUUAACACAUGCAAGUCGAACGGAAAGGCCCCUUUGGGGGUACUCGAGUGGCGAACGGGUGAGUAACACGUGAGUAACCUGCCCUUGACUUCGGGAUAACUUCAGGAAACUGGGGCUAAUACCGGAUAGGAAUCCUUGCUGCAUGGUGGGGGUUGGAAAGCUUCGGCGGUUUUGGAUGGACUCGCGGCUUAUCAGCUUGUUGGUGGGGUAGUGGCUUACCAAGGCUUUGACGGGUAGCCGGCCUGAGAGGGCGACCGGCCACAUUGGGACUGGGAUACGGCCCAGACUCCUACGGGAGGCAGCAGUGGGGAAUAUUGCACAAUGGGCGGAAGCCUGAUGCAGCAACGCCGCGUGCGGGAUGACGGCCUUCGGGUUGUAAACCGCUUUCAGCAGGGGCGAAGCUUGUGGUGACGGUACCUGCAGAAGAAGCACCGGCUAACUACG
rnacentral:rRNA from 1 species